GACGUUGAUUGUUGUGUGAAUUAGAUGAAGGUGAUAUCCAUAUCAAUUUUAUUCAAACAUACUGAGAAUGCAAAAAUCGAUUGUCUAUCUCAAACAAGUAAUCUCGACUCUUUCGGAUACUUCAUUAGAUCUUCAGUUCGUCAGUUUAUUAGUUUUGCAUCUCGCCAGAUCACAUUGAGAACUCCAUUUUCUACUCGUCAAACAAUUAAGGAAGAAGGUCCUAUAAUGAAACGUAUGAUUAGAAUAUAAUUGUCAUGUUUUUGUCCGCGGAGAUGGCCUUUCUGCUGUAACCAUCACUGAUCUCGAAUAUCCCAAUA